rnacentral:rRNA from 1 species
UACGGAGGGUGCAAGCGUUAUCCGGAUUUAUUGGGUUUAAAGGGUCCGUAGGCGGAUUAAUCAGUCAGUGGUGAAAUCUCAUAGCUUAACUAUGAAACUGCCAUUGAUACUGUUAGUCUUGAGUGAGUUUGAAGUGGCUGGAAUGUGUAGUGUAGCGGUGAAAUGCUUAGAUAUUACGCAGAACACCAAUUGCGAAGGCAGGUCACUAAGUCUCAACUGACGCUGAUGGACGAAAGCGUGGGGAGCGAACAGG